rnacentral:rRNA from 1 species
UACGGAGGGGGCUAGCGUUGUUCGGAAUUACUGGGCGUAAAGCGCGCGUAGGCGGACCUGCAAGUCGGGGGUGAAAGCCCGAGGCUCAACCUCGGAACUGCCUUCGAUACUGCGGGUCUCGAGUCCGGGAGAGGUGAGUGGAAUUCCUAGUGUAGAGGUGAAAUUCGUAGAUAUCAGGAAGAACACCCGUGGCGAAAGCGGCUCUCUGGAACGGUACUGACGCUGAGACGCGAAAGCGUGGGGAGCGAACAGG